UACUUAAUGCAUUGGCUCUGUAGAACUGUCCUCGAGCAUAACCCAUCGGUUUAGGGUUUAGGUACUUGAUGCAUUGGCUCUGUAGAACUGUCCUCGAGCAAAACCCAUCGGUUUAGGGUUUAGGUGAUUCUAGGUGUAUUGCAAUGGCCCUUUUUUCAAAUGAAAGAGAAACAGUCCACAAACAAGUAGCUGCUGAAACAUCCCAUGCAGAAUGCAUACUUGGUCAUAUUCCCGAAUUUUGGAUUCUUAUGAUAUGUUUGACAGAUUUGCUUAUAUUUACCAUGUGAUUAUUCA